GCCUGGGUGGCUCAGUCAGUUGGGCGUCUGACUUCAGCUCAGGUCAUGAUCUCACGGUCCAUGGGUUCGAGCCCCGCGUCAGGCU
rnacentral:tRNA from 1 species